AGCGAACGCUGGCGGCAGGCUUAACACAUGCAAGUCGAGCGCCGUAGCAAUACGGAGCGGCAGACGGGUGAGUAACGCGUGGGAACGUGCCUUCUGGUUCGGAAUAACUCAGGGAAACUUGAGCUAAUACCGAAUAAGCCCUUCGGGGAAAGAUUUAUCGCCGGAAGAUCGGCCCGCGUAAGAUUAGCUUGUUGGUGAGG
rnacentral:rRNA from 1 species